rnacentral:rRNA from 1 species
GGUUGAUCCUGCCAGUAGUCAUAUGCUUGUCUCAAAGAUUAAGCCAUGCAUGUCUAAGUAUAAACGACUUUGUACAGUGAAACUGCGAAUGGCUCAUUAAAUCAGUUAUAGUUUAUUUGAUAGUACAAUACUACAUGGAUAACCGUGGUAAUUCUAGAGCUAAUACAUGCGCCAGAGCCCGACUUCCCCGGAGGAAGGGCUGUAUUUAUUAGAUAAAAAACCAGCCUGGCCUAGCCAGUUUCAUUGGUGAUUCAUGGUAACUUGUCGAAUCGCACGGCCUUGCGCCGGCGAU